AACGAACGCUGGCGGCAUGCCUAACACAUGCAAGUCGAACGAGACCUUCGGGUCUAGUGGCGCACGGGUGCGUAACGCGUGGGAAUCUGCCCUUGGGUUCGGAAUAACAGCGAGAAAUUGCUGCUAAUACCGGAUGAUGACGUAAGUCCAAAGAUUUAUCGCCCAAGGAUGAGCCCGCGUAGGAUUAGCUAGUUGGUGAGGUAAAGGCUCACCAAGGCGACGAUCCUUAGCUGGUCUGAGAGGAUGAUCAGCCACACUGGGACUGAGACACGGCCCAGACUCCUACGGGAGGCAGCAGUGGGGAAUAUUGGACAAUGGGCGGAAAGACCUGAUCCAGCAAUGCCGCGUGAGUGAUGAAGGACCCGUACGGGUUGGUUAAAGACUCUUUUACCUAGGGAGUGA
rnacentral:rRNA from 1 species